UGCCCGCUGAGAGCUGGCAGCGGUGACUGGCAAUAGCUCUCUGUCACUUUUCCCCUGCUGUUUCCUGUGGGAAAGGUACCUGAAGACUGGAGGAUGCGGAUGCCACCGCAGCCUUCAGAAAGGGUGUGGAGGAUGGCGUGUGCAACUUGGAGGAGAAGGUAUUUGCAAGGAGCAGUCCAGGUGGAUGGACAGAGGAGAAGUCAUGCCGGACCAAAAGGGUGAAGGCUGCAGAGAGGAUUGGCUGGAGCAGGUGUGCAGUUUUCCCAGUGGUGGGAUGAAGGAGGUGGUUGAUGGAGGUCUCUGUGCAGGUUCAGGCUGGAGGCAGGAUCCUGGUGGUGUGAGUGGGGCGCCCCUGUGGAGCAAGGGUGGAAGGUGGUGGCAGGUCCCUGUCCCGGAGGAGUGGAGUUAAGGGUCCUGGCGUGGCUGUUUUCCUGCAUGGAAGAUGGAGAUCCUGGGAGCUGUGAUG
ensembl:lncRNA